CACCACAUGGCUAUUGCUAAUUUCCAUGGGCCCCUUUCACGUGAUUGGUGAUGGAAUUCCUUCUGUCAUGUCCAUUUACUCCCCAUCUCAUGGCUGGAGUUUGGUCCUAAUUACAGGCCCGGCUUUGAAUUAGUAAUUAGGAGGCACUAACAUGUUGGCUGAGAAGAAGGAAAAGAACUAGCAUGCAUAUUUAGAUAGAUAACCCUGUCAAUUUCUAAACUGAACCUCUCAGUUCCAGUGCAUAUAAAAGAAUAUCCAUUGUUUUAGGUUUUCGUGCAACUUGCCCAAAGCCACCAUAUGCACACUUUUGCCAAUGUCACAACUUUUAGUUUUAGAUAUAUACAUUAUUCAUAUUAUGCUUGUCAGAAUAUAUAAUUAUGUUUACUGUUCCAAUGAUUUCAGCUACUGAUGAUGCCGGUUUAAUUUGAUCAUGUGGCAUGUAGCUAAUUUGUUGUUUGCUGCAAUGCAGAGAGGAAUUGUCCAACUGCCUUAAUUCAAGUUCAUUCUGAACAACACAUAAUUUUUCAAUGUACAGAAAAAGAUCCAAAAGCCCAUUGUUAUAUAGAAAAAAACUGAUUCAACUCAUAGGGUUGUGCAUGGCAUUUAUUAAUUGUAGGGCCCCAUUUUGCAUUUCGCACCGGGGCCUUGAAUUUCUGGAAUGCCCAUGCGUGUCGAAGAGGAUGCACGGCGCUGCAUCGAUGGCCACCAUGACGGGGCAAGCUGAUGGCAUCAAGCAUGAUGUAUGGAUGUGGGGUCUUCCUUUACGUGAUGUUGGAUGGUACCUACCCUUUUGAGGAUCCAGAAGAUCACAAGAAUUUCAAAAUGAAAGUUCAGUGCUCAUUUUCGGACUUCCACCUUAUGAAUCAGUUUACCAAGAUGUGGAUGGUCAGGAGAUGCGAGCCCAACAAAGGUUUUGCUCAAGGCUACAACUUGAACCUCAAUCCUACAUGAAAAUUUAAUUUGUGCCAUGAAAAAUUCAGUUAGCUUUACGAUUCUAUUUUCGGUAUUCAUUUCUAUUAGAAGUUAAAAUAAGAACUCAAGUAUGUUCCUUACUGGAGUCAAUUGCGUGAUCAUUAAGCGGGUCAAAACUGAACAGUGUAUUGACCACCCAUCCUGUAUUAGACAAGGAAGCAUAUACACAUCAUUUAUACAUGGUUAGUGUGGAGCCAAAACCAUCCAGACUGAUCCAGCCAGUCCAGAUUCCGAGCGGACCAAGUAGGCGUGCGAAUGAUAUACAUCAGACCAUCUCCAUUAUAUUCUGAGCGAUCCGUUGAGUUUGCUGACUCUGACUAUCCUCCAUGUCCUACUCCGGUGAUGCUCCAACGUUCUCCUAGAGGUCUGCGUCAACAGCCUUCAAGAGUUUUUAUCAUUCACAUGAGUUCUAUUGAUUUGUCUUUAUUAGAAAAAGGGAAAUGGUGUACGUCUAAGUUCAUCUAAGUUAGCUUAGCAAAAUAGCAAACUUGGUUGAUUUUACAUUCAUAGGAAACAGGCGAGCUCAUCACACCGUUGAGCUGUUGCAAUUCUACAUCCUAAUACAAACAUGGAAUCUAGAGGUGGAAAUACGAUACAUCACUCUUCUCUCCUCUCUCCUCUCGUGCAAGAGCCUCCAAAUCAGUGGUUCAGGCUGUGGAUUUGGGGCUAUGGGCUAUUGAAAUCCGGCUAGGAGGGAUCUAGGUGUAUUUCAGCUUAUGGGAAAGCUUGGCUGAGUUUCAACUAUCUAUUGCCGUGGUGGAUGAGACUCAGUGGUCAUGGGAGACUACUGGCAUCUUCUGGGUGAGAUCUGUUUAUAUAUGCAGCAUGCUUUGCAUGAAGGAAGGUGAUAUCUACAGCAAGGUUGGCGUGGACCUAAAGUUUUGUGGAUCCAAAACUACGCACAACGCCGGAUAUUCAGUCCCUAGCAAAACUUCUUCACAGUUGGCCCUGGAUGGACCAUAGCAUUUCAUCAUGCAGGGGCUGGAUGGCCACCUCCAACCUCGCCUCUCUGCAGUAGCCCGCUCUGAACCUGCUGAUCUCAGGGAGGAGCUGUGUGGAACUGCGGCCUGGUGAGCAUGACGCGCGCUGCAUGCGCUCCUCUAGGGUGGCUUUCUCGGCGAGGGCGGCGUACCAGGCUGCUGUGGCAAUCCACGAGCUAGAUGCGUUUUCACCCACCAUCUGGCGCAGCUUUGCCCCGGGGAACUGCAAGUUCUUCUUAUGGUUGUGCCACCGUUGGCGCCUCCCGUGCGCCGCCCUGCUCCAUCGAAGACAUAUCAUUGACAGCGCUGCCUGCGCGUUUUGCGGUCAGGAGGAGACCCUGGUACAUUUGCUGUUCGGGUGUAGGCAUGCUUGCGCCGUUUGGGCCGUGAUUCAAGAUGGCAACGGGGACGAAACCCAAUGGGUUUUGCCUUCCCAAACCCAUCCCCACGAGAAAAUCGUAAACCCGUCCCCAUCCCCAUCACCAUGCGCGGGGCUAGUUUUCCGCCCGUCCUCUAAACCCAUCGGGUCUCGGGGAACCCACGGGGAACCCACAAGAAAAUCAAAAUAUAUAAACAAACAUAGUGGCGACAAAGAAUAACAUUUCAGCAGCAAAACAAGUACAUUUCAGAAGCAUAACCUGACCAAAUUUCAACAAAAAACAAUAGUAGAUGGUUCAAUAGCUAUAUAGAGUGUAUUUCAGCAGCAUGAUACCACAUUUCAGCAACAAAAAUGAUCAAAUUUCAGCAAGAAAGAUGAUAAGCCAUACAUGGUUCAACAAGAUAUGCAAUUACAUAAGUUUUAAAAUAGAAUUCUUGGUUUGGCCUUCGACGUUGGGGGGUGGGGGCUCGGUCGCUCAGGCUCGAUAGCUUUGGUUUGGGCCGCACCGGAUCAGUGCUUGGUAAAAAAAUGUAUUUUGCCGGGUUUGCCGGGUUUCGGGUUCGGGGACUGCCAAAACGGGUGCAAACCCACGAAACAUGUCGGGUUGUAUAAUGUGCCUAAUAACAGCCCCACGGGGAUGAAAAUACGCCCAUCCCCGUCCCCUAAUAGGGUAAAAACCCGCGGGGACGCGGGUUUCGGGACCCCAUUGCCAUCUUGAGCCGUGAUCACCCCGGGUGCCACGCCAGCUUCCUCUGUUGAAG